GGGGAUGCACCGGUUUCGACGGGGUCGAAGAGACGUGCACAGCAAGCGGAGGAUUCUCGUUGGCCUCCUAAAAAACGAGAAAUUUAAAAUUAAACGCUAACGACAACGUAGCACUUCAGGCUGCCUAAGCAGCUUGCGUUCCCUGUAAGGUUCCCCGAGCCUUGCAGUAAGAGCGUCAGUAACUCGGGUCUUUCGUAUUACGGUUAAAUACGACCCUCAUACAGUCAAUGCCUUGCGACUGUAUGAAUCCUAUCAGGCUACCGCCGGAAAGGAUUCGUUUACUUAAGCCCUCGGCGGGAAUUUAAAAGUAAACUAAGCUUGUAGACGUGAACGAGGAUUCGGUUUCGGACGUGGGUUCGACUCCCUCCAUCUCCACCA
rnacentral:tmRNA from 1 species